AGUUUAUAUUUUUAUUUAAACUUACGUUUUAGUAUUGUAUUAACUUUUUUUUUUUUAUUUUUAAGUAUGGCUUCCUGUCCAGGGAUUGUACUGCCCGGGAUAUGCAGUCUUUGGAAAGGAGACAACGUUACGAAUUUUGAAAAUCUAAAGAAGCGAAGCUUAUCGGAAAAGUUUUAGGUAUGAAGAACUAUAUAUGUAAACAUUUGCUGCAGCCACAGAUUCUGAAGAAGUAUUUCAUCGUGUAAGAAAAUGCAUUUCUUAGAUGAACUGCUUGUACACUGAAGAACAGUUUGUUAAGAAACUUCAAUAAAAUGGAAAAGCUGCACUAUUACUGUAUGUAUUCAUGAAAAUAGCUUCAAUCUUAGAGUAUAUAUCUUCAUGCCAUUAAAGGAUUGAACAGCUGU